rnacentral:hammerhead_ribozyme from 1 species
ACCCAGUUGAAGAGUCCCAAGUAGAACGAAACGCGCUUCUUGGCU